CACGGGAAGAAGUGCAAUUAAUGAUUAACACUACGAGUGAUGUUUGAAAAAUGUGCCAAAAUUGCACAACCAUUAAUAAUUAAUUGCACGACUUGUCCGUGUGAUUAUUUAUUUAUUUUAUGCAUGGCAUGAUGACAAAAUAGUUUUCUUUAGAAUUCAACUUCAUUUUGUCAAGAGUUUUUAAUUCUUUUUGUAAGCAAUUUGGCAUAAACAAACUUGGGAAAUGAUCAGAAACUUAUAAAGGCACAUAACUUAAACUAGGACAAAUGAUUCAAACUCAAAUAACAUAUGUUCAGAGUAUUAAGAAAAUCUUUUGAUAUAAAUUGAAUAUUUACAGAUUUACAUAGUCACGUUUCGCUGCAUCUCGCCGAGAUUAUUUCUUAAAACUGUUUCCAGGUAUUCUCCACAGGAUCUUUUUGCCAGACUAUGUUUUUUAAACUCAUUCUUGUGCCAAAAUUUAGUUCAAUUCGUCCAUGUGGUUUUUAUACAAGAUAAAGAUAAAUUUCCCCGCCAUAUUGGAUUUGUUGUUUGGAUUUCCCGGACCCCCCCCCCCCAGCCA
rnacentral:lncRNA from 1 species